UGGGGAAUAUUGCACAAUGGGCGCAAGCCUGAUGCAGCAACGCCGCGUGAGGGAUGACGGCCCUUCGGGGUUGUAAAACCUCUUUUUAGCAGGGAAGAAGCGAAAGUGACGGUACCUGCAGAAAAAGCACCGGCUAACUACGUGCCAGCAGCCGCGGUAAUACGUAGGGUGCAAGCGUUGUCCGGAAUUAUUGGGCGUAAAGAGCUCGUAGGCGGUCUGUCGCGUCUGCUGUGAAAUCCCGAGGCUCAACCUCGGGCCCUGCAGUGGGUACGGGCAGACUAGAGUGCGGUAGGGGAGAAUGGAACUCCUGGUGUAGCGGUGGAAUGCGCAGAUAUCAGGAAGAACACCGAUGGCGAAGGCAGUUCUCUGGGCCCGUAACUGACGCUGAGGAGCGAAAGCGUGGGGAGCGAACAGGAUUAGAUACCCUGGUAGUCCACGCCGUAAACGUUGGGCGCUAGAUGUGGGGCACCAUUCCACGGUUUCCGUGUCGCAGCUAACGCAUU
rnacentral:rRNA from 1 species